AGGGGUUUCUUUCGGCCUUCAGCUGUAGAUAGACUGUAGGCCGGCGGAAACUACUUGC
rnacentral:precursor_RNA from 1 species